UUAACGAAUUUUUCUAUAUUUUUUUUUUGGAUUGAAAGUUUAUAAAAAAUUAUUUGAUAUAUAAUUGAGAUGAAACCGUAUGAAAGGAUCCAAAUCACCUUUCCUUCCUUCAAAAGCUACCUUUCCCGUGUCCAAAUUCGUUUAUUAUUGAUCAUCCAUCUUGUCUUAUCUCUUCUUCUAAAAAUUAUUUGUUAAUUAAGUGGCUGCGUAAAUUAACAUCAUUCAUUCCCUCACUGGAUUUUCUGUUGCACACCUUCACUCAAAUUAUCACUCUCAGGUAUAAAAAAUAAAAGAAGAAAAGGGAAAGUUAGAGAAUGGGGUUCGUGGUGGUGAUAUCGUUGCCAUUAAUAUUGUUAAUUUUGAUAUUGGCUAUUGCUUGCUACUUGUUGGGUAGGGCCAGGGGUCGCAAACAAUCGUCUUCCCAUCCUCAGCAGUUUGGCCCACCAGCCCCUCCACCACAAGCCCAACUUAGUUAACAACAGGCCCAAAAAUGUUACACAUUGGUUUGUUUUUAUAAUAUAUUCAAGUAGUUUGCUCAUUGCACAUGUACUCACAAAAUUAGCUUUAGUCCUCAUCUACCUUUCACUUCUCUUUAUCAUAAUCUUUUUUAAUAUACAAAAGGAGUGUUUAAAGUCCAUUUUUUUUGUUCUAAAACCACUCGUUUACGUCA